ACUCAUUCAAAGAGUGCGUAAUAGCUCACUGGUCGAGUGAUGCUGCGCCGAAGAUUUAACGGGGCUAAAGCAUAUAACCGAAGCUUGGGCAGUCGAAAGACUGGGUAGGGGAGCGUCGAAUUAGGGGUGAAGCAUGAGCGGAAGCACAUGUGGACUUAAUUCGAGUGAGAAUGCCGGAAUGAGUAGCGAGAAUUGCGUGAGAAUCGUAAUGGCCGAAAAUCUAAGGUUUCCGUGGGAAGGUUCGUCCGCCACGGGUAAGCCGGGGGCUAAGGCGAGGCCGAAAGGCGUAGUCGAUGCACAUACGGUAGAUAUUCCGUAGCCGUCUAAGUUUAAGCACACUGACAUGUAUCCGGACUGUGACCCGAGCGUUGGUAGACUCGGGCGAAAGGGACUGAAAAUAGUAGGGAAGCACAGGAAAGAUAUAGCGAGAAAAGGUGUGAGGAAUACGAAAGGCGCCCGUACCGCAAACCGACACAGGUAGAUGAGGAGAGAAUCCUAAGGCCAACGGGAGAAGGGUUGUUAAGGAACUCGGCAUAUUGACCCCGUAACUUCGGAAUAAGGGGUGCCACUGAAAGGUGGUCGCAGUGAAAAGGCCCAGGCGACUGUUUAUCAAAAACACAGGUCUCUGCAAAACCGAAAGGUGAAGUAUAGGGGCUGACGCCUGCCCGGUGCUGGAAGGUCAAGGGGAAUGCUUAGAGCAAUCGAAGGCAUGAACUUAAGCCCCAGUAAACGGCGGCCGUAACUAUAACGGUCCUAAGGUAGCGAAAUUCCUUGCCAGGUAAGUUCUGGCCUGCACGAAUGGCGUAACGAUCUGGGCACUGUCUCAACAGCCUACCCGGCGAAAUUGUAGUACCGGUGAAGAUGCCGGUUACCCGCGACUAGACGGAAAGACCCCAUGGAGCUUUACUGUAGCCUGAUACUGAUAUUUGAUCCAUUAUGUACAGGAUAGGUGGGAGACCGGGAAGCAUAGGCGUCAGCUUGUGUGGAGUCGACCUUGGGAUACCACUCUUGAUGGAUCAGGUAUCUAACCUGCAGCCGUGAAUCCGGUUGGGGGACAAUGUCAGGUGGGCAGUUUGACUGGGGCGGUCGCCUCCAAAAGAGUAACGGAGGCGUUCAAAGGUCAGCUCAGCGCGGACGGAAAUCGCGCAAUGAGUGCAAACGCAGAAGCUGGCCUAACUGUGAGACCAACAAGUCGAGCAGUAACGAAAGUUGGAGUUAGUGAUCAGGUGGUAGUGAGUGGAAAUGCCAUCGC
rnacentral:rRNA from 1 species